rnacentral:rRNA from 1 species
UACGUAGGGUGCAAGCGUUGUCCGGAAUUAUUGGGCGUAAAGAGCUCGUAGGCGGUUUGUCGCGUCUGCUGUGAAAACUCGGGGCUUAACUCCGGGCUUGCAGUGGGUACGGGCAGACUAGAGUGCGGUAGGGGAGACUGGAAUUCCUGGUGUAGCGGUGAAAUGCGCAGAUAUCAGGAGGAACACCGGUGGCGAAGGCGGGUCUCUGGGCAGUAACUGACGCUGAGGAGCGAAAGCGUGGGGAGCGAACAGG